AUAUAUAUGCAAUGAACUUAAAAUUCAUUUAUAAAGAAUAAUCUUUUUUUAGAAA
rnacentral:tRNA from 2 species